UGGGGAAUUUUGGACAAUGGGGGAAACCCUGAUCCAGCCAUCCCGCGUGUGCGAUGAAGGCCUUCGGGUUGUAAAGCACUUUUGGCAGGAAAGAAACGUCAUGGGUUAAUACCCCGUGAAACUGACGGUACCUGCAGAAUAAGCACCGGCUAACUACGUGCCAGCAGCCGCGGUAAUACGUAGGGUGCAAGCGUUAAUCGGAAUUACUGGGCGUAAAGCGUGCGCAGGCGGUUCGGAAAGAAAGAUGUGAAAUCCCAGAGCUCAACUUUGGAUCUGCAUUUUUAACUACCGGGCUAGAGUGUGUCAGAGGGAGGUGGAAUUCCGCGUGUAGCAGUGAAAUGCGUAGAUAUGCGGAGGAACACCGAUGGCGAAGGCAGCCUCCUGGGAUAACACUGACGCUCAUGCACGAAAGCGUGGGGAGCAAACAGG
rnacentral:rRNA from 1 species